GGGCCCGCACAAGCGGCGGAGCAUGCGGAUUAAUUCGAGGCAACGCGAAGAACCUUACCAAGGCUUGACAUAUUUGAGAAGACCGUAGAAGUACGGGGAUCUUUGGACACUCAUUUACAGGUGGUGCAUGGUUGUCGUCAGCUCGUGUCGUGAGAUGUUGGGUUAAGUCCCGCAACGAGCGCAACCCUUGUCCUAUGUUGCCAGCACGUGAUGGUGGGGACUCAUGGGAGACUGCCGGGGUUAACUCGGAGGAAGGUGGGGAUGACGUCAAAUCAUCAUGCCCCUUAUGUCUUGGGGCUUCACGCAUGCUACAAUGGGCUGGUACAGAGGGUUGCGAUACUGUGAGGUGGAGCGAAUCCCUUAAAGCUAGUCUCAGUUCGGAUCGAAGUCUGCAACUCGACUUCGUGAAGGUGGAGUCGCUAGUAAUCGCAGAUCAGCAACGCUGCGGUGAAUACGUUCUCGGGCCUUGUACACACCGCCCGU
rnacentral:rRNA from 1 species